rnacentral:tRNA from 1 species
GCCUUGGUGGUUUAGUGGUAGAAUUCUUGCCCUCCGUGCAGGAGACCCAGGUUUGAUUCCUGGCCAAUGAA